CCUACGGGUGGCUGCAGUGAGGAAUAUUGGUCAAUGGACGAGAGUCUGAACCAGCCAAGUAGCGUGAAGGAUGACUGUCCUAUGGGUUGUAAACUUCUUUUAUAUGGGAAUAAAAUGUUCCACGUGUGGGAUUUUGUAUGUACCAUAUGAAUAAGGAUCGGCUAACUCCGUGCCAGCAACCGCGGUAAUACGGAGGAUCCGAGCGUUAUCCGGAUUUAUUGGGUUUAAAGGGAGCGUAGGUGGAUUGUUAAGUCAGGUGUGAAAGUUUGCGGCUCAACCGUAAAAUUGCAGUUGAAACUGGCAGUCUGGAGUACAGUAGAGGUGGGAGGAAUUCGUGGUGUAGCGGUGAAAUGCUUAGAUAUCACGAAGAACUCCGAUUGCGAAGGCAGUUCACUGGACGGCAACUGACACGGAGGCUCGAAAGUGUGGGUAUAAAACAGGAUUAGAUACCCGAGUAGUC
rnacentral:rRNA from 1 species